rnacentral:rRNA from 1 species
UGGGGAAUAUUGGACAAUGGGCGAAAGCCUGAUCCAGCCAUGCCGCGUGUGUGAAGAAGGUCUUCGGAUUGUAAAGCUCUUUUAGUUGGGAGGAAGGUACUGGUAUUAAUACUACCAGGUACUGGACGUUACUCGCAGAAUAAGCACCGGCUAACUCUGUGCCAGCAGCCGCGGUAAUACUGAGGGUGCGAGCGUUAAUCGGAUUUACUGGGCGUAAAGCGUGCGUAGGCGGCUAAUUGAGUCGGAUGUGAAAUCCCCGAGCUUAACUUGGGAAUUGCAUUCGAUACUGGUAGGCUAGAGUGUGGGAGAGGAAGAUAGAAUUUCCUGUGUAGCGGUGAAAUGCGUAGAUAUAGGGAGGAACACCAGUGGCGAAGGCGACCACCUGGGCUCAUACUGACGCUGAGGUGCGAAAGCGUGGGGAGCAAAAAGG